GAUGAACGCUGGCGGCGUGCCUAAUACAUGCAAGCCGAGCGAACGGACGAGAAGCUUGCUUUUCUGAUGUUAGCGGCGGACGGGUGAGUAACACGUGGAUAACCUACCUAUAAGACUGGGAUAACUUCGGGAAACCGGAGCUAAUACCGGAUAAUAUUUUGAACCGCAUGGUUCAAAAGUGAAAGACGGUCUUGCUGUCACUUAUAGAUGGAUCCGCGCUGCAUUAGCUAGUUGGUAAGGUAACGGCUUACCAAGGCAACGAUGCAAAGCCGACCUGAGAGGGUGAUCGGCCACACUGGAACUGAGACACGGUCCAGACUCCUACGGGAGGCAGCAGUAGGGAAUCUUCCGCAAUGGGCGAAAGCCUGACGGAGCAACGCCGCGUGAGUGAUGAAGGUCUUCGGAUCGUAAAACUCUGUUAUUAGGGAAGAACAUAUGUGUAAGUAACUGUGCACAUCUUGACGGUACCUAAUCAGAAAGCCACGGCUAACUACGUG
rnacentral:rRNA from 1 species